GCAGAAACUGAGUGGGAACAUGGGAAGCAGCAUUAUCCUGAGCAGCUCAGUGCCAAAGCUGAUCAACAGAGCAGAGCCAAUGAGAUUCCAGGGAUUGUUGCAUGCCGGGUGCCAGGGAUUGGGCUGUCUGCUCAGGGCUGGAGAGGAACUAAGAACUAAGAACGCAGAGAAAAAAUGAGCUUUCGGGGUUUUGCAGAUUUCUGUGAAUUCAUUUGGCUGAAGACUGGCAACUGUGAUGUUGGAGACAUUUGGAUGUGAUCAAGAUGGUUCAUUCACACAGCACGUCAGGCUGAAGGUUAUUGCAAAUGCUUCAGCCUUAUCUUGUGCACUGAUGUAUUGUACUCCCCAUCAAUGAUGAUGGAGGUAUUUGUGGAUUGUCUUCCUCCAGUGUAUUGUUUA